rnacentral:rRNA from 1 species
CAGCCGCCACGGGAAUACGUAGGUGGCAAGCGUUGUCCGGAAUUAUUGGGCGUAAAGGGCUCGCAGGCGGUUUCUUAAGUCUGAUGUGAAAGCCCCCGGCUCAACCGGGGAGGGUCAUUGGAAACUGGGAAACUUGAGUGCAGAAGAGGAGAGUGGAAUUCCACGUGUAGCGGUGAAAUGCGUAGAGAUGUGGAGGAACACCAAUGGCGAAGGCGACUCUCUGGUCUGUAACUGACGCUGAGGAGCGAAAGCGUGGGGAGCGAACAGGAUUAGAUACCCCUGUAGUCCCUGUCUCUUAUAC